UACGGGGGGGGUAAGCGUUGUUCGGAAUUACUGGGCGUAAAGGGCUCGUAGGCGGCCAACUAAGUCAUGCGUGAAAUCCCUCAGCUUAACUGGGGAACUGCGUGUGAUACUGGAUGGCUUGGAUUUGGGAGAGGGAUGCGGAAUUCCAGGUGUAGCGGUGAAAUGCGUAGAUAUCUGGAGGAACACCGGUGGCGAAGGCGACAUCCUGGACCAAUAUUGACGCUGAGGAGCGAAAGCCAGGGGAGCAAACGGG
rnacentral:rRNA from 1 species